GUCCUUUUAACUCAGUAGUGGAGUUACGCCAUGGUAAGGUGUAAGUCAUCAGUUCAAAUCUGAAAAAGGGCUC
rnacentral:tRNA from 1 species